GAAAACCCACUGAACUGAAGCAUCUCAAUAAGUGGAGGAAAAUAAACUAACUAGGAUACUCUUAGUAAGUGCGACCGAAGAGAGUAAAGCUCAAUAAUCUAAACUUUAAAUUUUUAUAAUUUAAAGUCAUGUGAUUUUCUAAACUCAUUGAAAUUUUUAUAAAUUAUGAUUGAAUUCAUAACUAUAAAGAGUUAUAGUCUCGUUAUUUAAAAUUUCAAGCAUGGGAAUUAGAAUUAAAGAGUCGGGUAGCUUGAGAAUGCUGCCUUAAUAUAGGUGGUACACCCCAUCUAAAGCUAAAUAUUGUAAAGAGACCGAUAGCAUACAAGUAGUGUGAACGAAAGAUGAAAAGAACUCCUAAACGGAGAAUUAAAAGCGCCUGAACUUGUCUAGGUUUUCGCAUUUCUUUAAUGCGCCCGUCUUGAAACACGGAUUAGGGAGUUUUACUUAAAUACGAGUCUUUAACUUUUAAAGUAAUUUUUUUAAAAAAGGCGAAAAGAAAUUAACUGGUUUUUUUAACAUGGCUAUAGAGUAUUUAAGUCAAAACCCGAAUGGAGGUGAACUAUUCCUGCAAAGAUUGAAGUCAGGGGAAACUCUGAUGGAAGAUCGUUGGCGUUAUUGAUGUGCAAAUCAUUUGCUUUAUGUAGGUAUAGGUGCGAAAGACUCAUCGAACCUCCUAAUAGCUGGUUUCCUCCGAAGUUUCCCUCAGGAUAGCUGUAACAUUUUUAAAUAGUUAAGGAUAGUAGAGAAAUGGGUAGAGGUGUAGUGGAACUACGGUUCUGCAACUUAUUUCCAAACUUCGAACGUUCUUGAUAUAAAAAAUUACCUAAUAGGAAUUUUUUAUUUAAAUAUAUGUUAUAAGUGGGCUCUGACCGGUAAGCGGUCAUGGCGAAAAGGGAUGAACCUAACGUAUAAAUAAGGUGCCUAAAUUUACUAACAAUGAAACCAUUAAAAGAGUCCAUGUAUUUAGACAGCGGGUCGGUGCCCCUAAAAGCAGGUAUCCGUUAAUGAGUGUGUUAAAACUCCCCCGCCGAAUACUCUGGCCUUGAAAAUGAAUGGCGCAUAUAGUAAUACCGAUAUUAUACAUUAAAAUUAUUUAAAAAUUUUAAAAGUAGGGGGAUGUGGAUAUCUUAGAGAAUUUUUAAUUGUAAAAUUGAAUUGAAAGAUAUCUAUUACAGAUCCUAAUUGAAGUAGCGAUUAUCCAGGUUAAUCUCCUGGGGGCUGAUGAGGAGUAGGGUUUCUGGGCAACUUAAACGGACCCAGAGUUAGUCGAUCCUAAUCAAAUUAAAUUUAGAGAAAGGGAAUAUGAAUGAUAUUUCAUAACUAAAAUUAAUUUUUAAAUGGUGACAUUUUUUUAAACUUAUUUCCAUCAAUUAAAUACUGUUUAAUAGGGAUUUCUUUCCUAUAUAACUUUUUAAUUAAAACUUAAGAAACAGGUUAACUGGAGAAUAAAGUUUUAAUUUAGUAAAAUUAUAAUUUCGAUUAUAAUAACGGCUAUUUAAAUGAUCCAUGAAACAAUAAGUUUAUUUUUUCAAAAAUUAAUUUAAUCGUACCGAUAACCGCAUCAGGUCUCCAAGGUGAGUAGCUUCUGGCCAUUGAGUAAUGGUAAUUUAGGGAAUUCGGCCAAUUAGAGCUGUAACUUCGGGAUAAAGCUUGGCUCUGAUGGAAAUCAGAACCGAUAGUUACAAGGAGAGCCCAACUGUUUAAUAAAAACUUAGUGUCGCGUCAUACCUUUAUAAGUAAUAAACGUGACAUGAAUCCUGCUCAGUGCUGUGUUUGUUAAACUGGAUUAAUCCAUUUAAGCGCCGGUAAAUAGCUGGGGUAACUAUGACUCUUAUCAAAGUAGCGAAAUACCUCGUCACUUAAUUAGUGACCUGCAUGAACGGAGCUAUGAGGUUCUCACUGUCCCAAAUUAUCACUCAGCGAACCAACAGUUGUGGGAACGGGCACAAAUUAUCCAGCGGGGAAAGAAGACCCUGUAGAGCUUCACUUUGGUCUAAUCUUGUAUAGUUUCGUUAGGGGUGCAGUCUAGGUGGGAGAUUUUUAAUCAAAUAUGAGAAACCACUACCCUUUCUGGAAUUAUACUUACUAAAAUUCUUUUCUAAAUUUUAGGAUCGGAUUAGAUAGAAAGUUUGGCUGGGGCGGCACACCUUCGAAAAAGCAGCGAAGGUGUCCUAAGUUAAGCUCAGUAAGGACAGAAAUCUUACGUUGAGGAUAAGGCCAAAAGCUUAAUUUACUGUGCCUUUUUGUACUAGGAUCAGUUUGGAAACAAAGGCCUAACGAUCCCUAAUUAGUCUUAGGUGUGUAAGACUUGGGGUGACAGACAAGUUACCUCCGGGACAACUGGCUUGUGGCUGCUAAGAGAUCAAAUCAACGCAGCUUUUUGAUUCUUCGAUGUCGGCUCUUCC
rnacentral:rRNA from 1 species